GGAAAAAUUGCCAAAAAACGGGUGGGCUAUAGCCUUGGUGGGGGGCGUGGGCGAAGUUCGUCCGCCGGACUCGGAAUGGCCCCAGACUUUGCAGGCGGCCUCCGUGUGCCAAAAAUAGGCCACGGGCACAGCCGCGCCCAAAAAUCAGCCCCCGAAUGUCGGGGCGCCAAGACACCCCAGCGGAAAAAUGGCCAAAAAACGGGUGGGCUAUAGCCUUGGUGGGGGGCGUGGGCGAGGUUCGUCCGCCGGACUCGGAAUGGCCCCAGACUUUGCGGGCAGCCUCCGUGUGCCAAAAAUAGAUCACGGCCACAGCCGCACCCAAAAAUCAGCCCCCGAAGGUCGGGACGCCAAAACCCCCCAGCGGAAAAAUGGCCAAAAAACGGGUGGGCUAUAGCCUUGAUGGGGGGCGUGGGCGAAGUUCGUCCGCCGGACUCGGAAUGGCCCCAGACUUUGCGGGCGGCCUCCGUGUGCCAAAAACAGGCCACGGGCACAGCCGCGCCCAAAAAUCAGCCCCCGAAGGUCGGGGCGCCAAGACCCCCCAGCGGAAAAAUGGCCAAAAAACGGGUGGGCUAUAGCCUUGGUGGGGGGCGUGGGCGAACUUCGUCCGCCGGACUCGGAAUGGCCCCAGACUUUGCGGGCGACCUCCGCGUGCCAAAAAUAGGCCACGGGCAAAGCCGUGCCCAGAAAUGAGCCCCUGAAUGUCGGGGCGCCAAGACACCCCAGCGGAAAAAUUGCCAAAAAACGGGUGGGCUAUAGCCUUGGUGGGGGGUGUGGGCGAAGUUCGUCCGCCGGACUCGGAAUGGCCCCAGACUUUGCGGGCGGCCUCCGUGUCCCAAAAAUAGGCCACGGCCACAGCCGCGCCCAAAGUUCAGCCCCCGAAGGUCGGGGCGCCAAGAUCCCCCAGCGGAAAAAUGGCCAAAAAACGGGUGGCUAUAGCCUUGGUGGGGGGCGUGGGCGAACUUCGUCCGCCGGACUCGGAAUGGCCCCAGACUUUGCGGGCGGCCUC
rnacentral:lncRNA from 1 species